rnacentral:lncRNA from 1 species
AGGUACAAUAAUAUUCAUCAAAUACAUGUGUAUAAGAUUACAUCAUUGAUGAAUACAAUUUUCUGGCAUAGCCCUAAGGCUAUUUACAUGGCAGCGGAAGUCUUGGUUUGGCAGCGUCUCACUAAGUCGGGGCUCCAUAACGCACAGGACUGGCAAGAUUACGGCCUAGCACAACGGAACUAGCAAACGACCUACAAAACUGACAUGACACGCCAGGUCAGUACAUUGAAUGUACUUGCAAGACAACCAAAUACAUAACAUCCAAACAAACAGAUGACAAGGCAAGAAGCAAGCAUAUGCAACAAUCUACUCCCACACAACUUCUAAGCAUGGCAUGAUAUUAACUAGAAUCAUAAAUCCAACUAGGCAUGAACAACAUCAUAGCAUCUACUAUCAUGGCAUAUCAAACUUACUUCUAACAUAACAACAACAAAGCAUAGCAUAUCAAAACAUGGCAUGCAUGGCAUCAUGAAACUAUGCUGAAAAUAAACUACCAGUUACCUCCCGUGAAGACAUGUUGUAAUAACCUUAUGCCACAAUCACUUACUCUGCCACGGCUCCUCGGAGCACAAUCAUGACUUACCGAGACCUCGGCUCGGGGUCAUAUCAACACAUCAUCGUGACUUCUCACGAUUAUUUCAUAGUCCAAGCCAUCACAUUAGUUAUCACAUCUUAGUUAUCACAUAAUUUAUUAGCUAAUUUAUCCUCCAUUACGACCGAGACCCGAUAGUGUGACCUACUACGAACCUGUGCCCAUGACCGAGGACGCGGCUAUCGAUAGAUUUAAUACACUCUGCAGAGGUAGCGCACUUUACCCACACUAUGGAACCCUGGUCUCGCACUCCCAUACGUGCAGACCAAAGCGUUCCGACAAAACCGAUCUACUGCCAUGACGCUCUCCCGGCCACUCCGACCAACACCCCUUAAGGGUUCAGUCCUGGGUGGCCCCGUACCUACCAAAUGUACCAACGGCCACCGUCGUGGCAAAACGGUCCCAAACGGGGACAUGAGCUCAAAACCAAACCCGGGCACAGAAGGCUUAUGUCCGCCUACCUGAUCAGGGUAAGCGCACCCAUAACCUUCCCUCGCGGGAGGCACUGGCGAGAGGCAUGACAAUAGACCCAGCUAGGACCUUCCCACAAGGUAAAUGUGGUUGCACUGGAGAAAGCUCGAUUUGGUGGCACUAUGAUAUCCCAGUGAUGGCGGAGGAGGUUUGUUAUUAAGUCAUAUUAUUAACUUCUCCACCAUCAUCAACAUUAUGAGCAUAUUAAACAAGAAUGCAACAAUGAACAUGCAGCAAACAAAUGCAUUAACAAAUAUCAAGCUACUCCAGUGAACAGUUAUAGCAUAUGAAACAUAACAAUACUAGAUACUAGCUUAUUGACGGUGCAACAAAAUCAUCAUAACAUCAAGACUACUGGCAUGAACUAAACUAGAUAGAGGCAUGAUAUUAUCAACAACAAUAUAACUAGCAUGGCAAAAGCUAUCAUGAGAGGUAAGCAAGCAGUACUAACAUAUAUCACAACUGAAAUAACGGCAGACGAAACGGACAAAAACUACCACAACUAAGCACACACACGAGGUACCAGCAAAGUCAACAUGCAAGUUCGGGGCUCAUGAUAAGAGGUUGGCUUGCCUGGGGUCGAGGAUUACUCCGGAAAAAGUGUGGAACGAUCGCGGAAAGAUUUGCCGGAAACAGUUCUCUCUCGGAGG